UCAUACCGGUACUAUCCAGUCCAGCAUGUGUAUUUUCUUGAAAGUUUGUUACAGCAUACUGUAGGCGACACCUGACAACUGACACGUACUGGGCUCACUCAAACUUCGCGACAAUGCUUAUUAUUAUCACAAAGUUGAGUGGAUCAUUGCAGCAUGCUCAGGAAAGUGGGCAAGACUACAAAUAACUCGUCUGUGUGUGCACACACGUUUGCUUAUAUCAUGGAUUGGCAUUGACCAUGGCAGGUUAACCCAGAUGAUAAAUUGUUUCAAUGUCUUUGUAUUGAUUCAAUGUCUUUGUGCUGGCUUCUCAGCAGAUAUGCAGCACAGCAUCUGGACUGAUCAUUACCCUGAGAAAACACCACAUCAAGCUGAGAGUGACAGUUUUGUAAGGCCUUUCCCUAGCAAAACAGAGAGAAUAAAAGGACUCAACAGCUACAGGACACCAGGAGUGCCUGUUACUUGUGCUAAUCUACCCGUGCAAGUGUCUGAAAGCCCUAAGGAUCCUUGAGUUAUCUCUGGUCAUGUAGAGAAAAAUGGUCAAGUGGAUGAUUUCUACACUCAUGGGACUGACCAGAGAUCUACCCGCCCAGGAUGUGUCUCUACAGUGGUGAAGAAAAUGUAUGAGUCUUCAGGGGAUCACCAAUCCAAAAUGGUGGUGUAACAGGGUACAAGAGAGAGGCAAAAUGGAACAUUGCUACCUACAGAAGAGAUGAAGAGGCCCCAAAUCUUAAAUUAACCAUGGCUCAAAGUCAGGAGUCGAAAGGCCUCCCACUUCCUGUCACCCAGCGACUUCCUGUUACCCAGUGUGUGAGUGAACUUGCAGCUCCUCGUCAACAAAUGAAAAUUAUCUUUUACAGAAGAAGAGGGGCUGGGAUGGAGCAUGUGAAAUAUACUGUGUUUCUUCAGGUCUUAAUAAUCACUGCACUAAUUCAAGACUCUG